CGGGGAGCCCGGGGGCCGCGCCGGGGGUGCCAGGUUCCCGCACACUGGAGUGGCGGCGCCUCCCCGUGGUGUCCCCGAGCCUGGGUCCUUUUUGGGACUGGCUCUGGCACUCCCAGGCACUCAGUCCAGUAGAGAAAUCCAGCAGGAGGCUUCCAGGUCGGACUCCUCCGAGGAGUAAGGAGAGGGAAGGGGCCUCACAAACACACCCAGGAGCAUCUGGCGACGGAGGAUGAGAAAAUAGAGUGACGGAUGUGGAGUCAGGGGUCUAAUCUCCCUGCAAGCCACCUGAUCUCCCUGGGCCUCUGUUUUCUCAUCUGUGAAAUGACAGGUUGGACGGCUUAGUCUCUGAGGCCUCAUCCAGUUCCACGGUAAGUCUGAUAAUCGUGAGUGUGCCUUUAAAUAGCCAGCUCAGGUAAUUACCUGACAGCUUC
rnacentral:lncRNA from 1 species